rnacentral:lncRNA from 1 species
GCUCGACCUGGCAGUAACCACCUGGUCAGAGGACAUUUGCUGCUCUCGCUGCACUGCCCUAAGCAACGUGAUUUCAUCCCACGGAGCCUAAGCUCUCAGGUCAAAGCACGUGAGGCGUUGCUUGAUCCAGUAACCAAGGUCAUUGGUGCCAGACAGCAGACUGCACGCUGGAAGUCUUUCUGUAUCGCAGGCCAAAGGCUGGUAAUCUCCCCGGGCAAUGCUGAGAUAACACAUGUCAAGAGGCAGCAGUGGCUGGUAAGCCAACUCAUCACUCACCUCGUCCCACCGCCCUCCUGGCCCCCUAUUGUUGCAGCCCUUUCAUU